CUGCCCCCUCCGGCGGGGUUCCGGAGAAAAGCGUCCCGCGAAUGUGUACACAGGCCAGGCACGGUGCUCGGCACCGGGAAAUCAGAGACUGUAAUAGGUUUUAAAAAGCCCCUGCCCUCGGGAGACUUGCGUUCUGGUGGAGAAGCCACACAAUAGAUAUGGAAGCAGAUAAAUGAGCAUUUUAGAAAAGACCAGUUCUAUGGAGACAAUACUGCGGGAUGACGGGGCGCAGUGGCCCGCAUUAGAUGGAUUUCUAACACAUCUCCAGGAUAGGUAUUUGGAGCUGAGAUCUGAACUAUGAAAAUAUGAAACCAGAGAAGAAAGGUUUGAGGUCUCAGAGGCCCAAUGAAGCAACAGGAACGAAGGGUUUACGUAUGCUGUCCCAUACGGUUGGCUGCUGAUGAGUUGCAAUGUGCCUUCAGCUGCCAUGGUUACCCUGGGGCUGCCAUGUGGAGAGACCAUGUGGAGAGACCACAGAAAGAGAGAAACCGGAGGAAGCCAGCUGUUCCCGCCCCAUCCCCAACCCCCAUCUAUUUGUGUCUUCACAGCCCAAGUUCUGCGAGCGAAUAAAUGAUUGUUACUGUUCUAA